AUAAAAACACCCUAGGAGUGCUGACUCCCCGUGUCAUAGCUGUGGAGCCUGCACCCUGCACCAAGGAGGAAGGAGAAGAAGAAGCUAAAGCUAAGAGAUUAAGUAGCUUUCCAAGGUCAAACAACCAGGAAAUGGUGGCAGAGGUGAAAUUAGAACCAGAUAUCAACACAAAUUAUUUAGAAUAAGAAAAGCAACACCGUUUCCAGAGUUGGUAUUCCUGCAUUUGGUCACACUUGUGCCAAGAAACCAUGGGACUCUGAGAAAAGGAACAAGGACUUGCAAAGCACUCUUCUCUUCAGCAGAUGGAAAACUACGAAAUGUCAAGUGCCUUUUAACAACAUUCUAGACUGUUCAAAGUGUUAAGCAAAUUUUAUAUUGUUUAGAAAUGUCUAGCUUGUAUCCUACUGUUACAGCUAUUCAGAUUUUACAUGUUGUAGCUGUUUCUUCUCUUCUAAAAUGCCUCCUAUGUCCAUGUUUCUUCGUAGCAGUCUGAUAGGAUCCUACAGCACAAAGUCCACAAUAACCCUAGCCACCAACCAAGAUCAUAUGUAAAUAUUUUCAUGAAGUCAGAUAUUACGUUCAUUUCUUUCCACCUCCUUUUUUUCUUAAACUUGGUAAUAUUCCCCUUUUGUUACCCUCAAAAUAGGCUUGUUGUUUGCUCUGUCUUCUCUUUUCCUUAUGAACCCAUCAAUGACUAUCCAUGACUAUGGCAACUGGUUCAUGACAUUUACCCCAAUUAGCUGAGUUACAGGCAACUCAGUAAAAGGAUUGGACAUGAAAAUUUCUUUUUUAGGGUGUGAAUCAAAACUCUCAAAAAAGCACAAAAAAUAAUUCUGAUUUUCUGUAUGUUUGAAGCAUUCACAUAAUCCGUAAGUAUAAUAUAUUGGUCCCACUUUCCUUAUUUUGUGUAAUCAAACCAUAAUCAAUAAGAACUACAACUAUUUCAAAAUGAGAUUUCUGAAGCAUUGAGGACAAAUUCAUCAGGAGCACACAUAUAAAAGUCACUGGAGAGAGUCUUUUCUUUCUUAAGUGCCCUUGAAACCCAGCAACUGAAUUAUAUUCCAGGCCCCAAAGGAGAGCUACAAGGUUAUAAUUGUCUCACACUUAAUUACAUGCAUUGCAAAAGGUAAAUGGA
rnacentral:lncRNA from 1 species